UCCGGAUUGGCAGAGAGCGACUGCACACCAGUUGGUUCGCCGGGUGCCUCUUUCUAUGCUAGCCAGCCUGUCAAUCCUCAGCUCUUGGUCAGCUGUUCAUCUUGCUCCCCUCGGUCACCCGGUCAAUCUGUCAUCCCUUUGUCACUUAUUUCUCCUGUCUCUGUCACGCUCUUCUUCAUCUUGUCACCCCUCAGUCGCCUUCAGUGUGUCACCAAGUUAACCAGAAAAGAAGCUAGUAGAUCACCAUUCUAAUAGAACAAGCAAACGCCUUUGUCAUCGACUUACUCAUGACAGUAAAUAGCAUUGCAUACCUGGGAAUUCUUGCUGUUACAGAUGGACCCACCACAUGCACAGCUCGAACCUGCCAGACUUCUUAACUCCUUCUGCUCUGUGGAGAAGAUAUUGCAGUGCAGUUGUUCCUUCCAUGGGAUCCCCACUCCUUCUGUGCGAUGGUGGGUGGACGGUGCCCCUGUGGAUGUGAACAGUGGACAUGGCCACUUCCAGGUGACCUCUACCACACUUGGUCCCUGGGACAACAGCACCCUCAGCCUGGCCAGGGACCCAGAAAUGGGCACAGUUCUUCUCUGUGAGGGGAAGAACCAACAUGGAAUCCAUGGUCUGAGCAUCCUUCUGAUGUCAAGUGAGGGUGGGGACUUGGAGACUGGGAAGGGGCCCUUUGGCUCCCCAGAUUUUCCUGGAAGCUCUGCUACGGGGUGUUGUCUAUGCAGCCAUGGCAAUCACACUACUUUUUCUCUGCCUCCUCCCCUUCAUAGUGAAACUUCUCAGGACAAAGCAGGCAAAGAAGUGUGCACAGAUGAGAGAACAGAAGAACUCUGUGGCUGGAACAGACCAGGGAUCCCAUUUGAAGCCCAGGGAGCCUAGGAAAUCCAGAACUAAGCUACCCUCUGAGGAGCAGCUCUCGGAAAAAGAAGAUAAUCUGAAGCCAAGGAAGACCAUGGAAACUGCAUCAUGUACAAAGUUCCCAUCACCCUGGGAAUUACAAAAGCCCAUGGAGACUCCAGAACCCCCAAGUCCAUAAUAAACUUGAGGUCCUGCAGAUCUGAGCUCACUAAGCCCUCUUAGCCUCUAUCUAUCCUAUACACUCCAAG
rnacentral:lncRNA from 1 species